GUGGAAAACAUGCAUGACACCUGCCUGCACGACAAACUUGAUAUUGAAUUUUUGCCCAAACCAUGACGAGUUAAAUCUGAUCAUAGACAAUCUCCAGUGAUAAUGGAGCACAAACUACUCUGCAAACUACUUUCUAUUACAUCAUCAAACUACUUCCUGCUUUUGUACCAGACUAAAGCAGUCUUUCAACCCUUUCUCUUUAAACUGUUACCUCUCAGAUAUUUGUCCUUGAAUGCACCAUCACCCACAGACUUCUAAACAUGGAUGAAAAAAAACCAAGGGUGAUUAAAUCUUUUAUUGCGAUGAAUUAUCAGUCUGCAGCAGGUUUCUCGUCUCGUUAUAAGAACCGAACAGAAAGCAGAAAGAAAAGCUGCCUGCGAGGAAUGAAAUCAAUCUAAGAGCUGACGUUUGUUUGGGCAAUUAAGUGUACAAAUUUGUAGGUAAUCCAUCUAUUAAUUUCUUUCCUCAUCCGUCCAUCCAUCCAUCUUUUCUCCCCCCCAAACGCUUCAUUCUCCCACCAUUUACACCCUGCCUCCAUCCAUCCAUCCCUCCCUCCAUUCAUCUCUCCAUCUGCUCCCCUCCCCCUCCCCCCAGCAGUGUGUGUGUGUGUGUGUGUGUGUGUGUGUGUGUGUGUGUGUGUGUGUGUGUGUGUGUUUCUGCUAAAGGCUGUCAGGCAGCGAUGGCGUUUUGGCUGAGCUGCUGUUUGUGGAUCUAUUUCUGGGGGCAUUUCAGCGGCGAUAGGCAUCUGGAGGAGACCAAAUUAAUUUCCAGGUAGAGGGAGGGAGAGCGAGCGAGAGAGAGAGAGAGAGCGAGAGAGAGAGAGAGGAUUGGGGUGGGGGGAGGAUGAGGACAGACUUCAUAGCCGGCUGCACAAGUGCUCCCACUAUCAGUACACCACAGCGGCUGUGGAGAGGAGGAUGAUGGAGAGAUGAUGGAGAGAGGAGGACCGGACGAGAGAGAUCGAGCAGAGAGGACGGAGAGAAAAACAGGGAGGGGGGGUUACAAAAGGUGAGAAAGCGAGAGGCGACAUUUUAAACGGUAAGGCAGAGAAAGGGAGGACAAUAAUAUGACGCAUGUCUGCAACUUUCCUCCCAUCAAACAGAGCAGCAGUUUAAUCAGGACUCCCUUUAAAAACACAGUAUCUCACCUGCAUGUAGGCGGGGCUCUGCAGGACUCAGCAGAGAGCACCCUGACCUGUCGCUGCAGCUUCCUCACUGUCACACAAGAGGCCUUUUUUUUUUUUAGUGUUUUCACACAUGCAGAUAAAUCCAGAAGGUUUGCAUUCACGCAUGUGUGAAUGCAAACGGACUAAAUUCUCACCUUGACUUUCCCUGGACGUUUUCCUGCCAGACCUCUAGUAAAAUGUCCUGUCCAAUGAUGUGAGCCGAUGUGGGAAUGUAGCAGAUAAAAAGUCAUGAAAAUUCACACAAGUUGGUUGGAGGUGGUGGUGACGUUUGUAUCCUGCAACCGGUGCGAUCUGUCUUCUGUUCACCAGCAUGUUCUUCUGUGCUCUUUGUUGAUGCGGUUCAGGAGUAAAUACAUGGAAACCUCCUGUGAAAACUAAAAUAUAAAGUCAGUUCCAGCCUUGGAAGCCAUCAGCAAUCGUCAUCUAAUAGAUGAUAUGACAUCUGGACGCCAACUUCUCAGUGAUUCCUGUAAAGCUAGAGGUUAGAGUACAUGACCUCCGAACAUCUUUUCAGUCAAGUGUAAAAUCCUGCAGUUCCUCGAGUGUCCUCUAGAGGCUGGCUGCAGAAGCACAGGAAGUCACAUACACACCCAUUCUAAAAAGCCUGUUUUUACAGCAGAGAUUAACAUGUUUACAGCCUGGUUCAAAAAAACAAACAGAUCAGAUUAACUCAUGUCUCGAUCGGCACACACUGUAGAAAUCUCACAUUGUCUUCCUUCUGUGGGGUUUUAAAUUCAGCUUUUUCAAGUCUAUUUUUUAUAGAUUUAAUAUUCAGAAUUUUAAUAUUCAGCAUGAACCAAACUGAGUGUAAUGUCAGAAUCUCUGUUAAAAGUAUGAACGAGAAAAAUAAAACAUGAGAAAAAGACGGACGGACAAAGAGGAGAGAGAGAGAGAGAGAGAGAAGCUGCAGAGCGAGAGAGUAAAAGUGUGAGAGAUUUGGAGGCCUGAGCUGCUGGUAGUGUUGGCUAACUUUCAGAAACAACAGAAAAAACCACAAAGCACAAAGUUGGCUUUGUCUCCAAAAACACCCCCCCCCCCUCUCUCCCCUCUUUCUCCCCAGGGGCAAAAUAACACAACAAAAUGUCCCAUUACCCCAUUCUGAUGAGCGAGAGACGGGCAGAGAGAGAGAGAGAGCGAGAGAGAGAGAGAGGGGCCUGGUCUGUGGCUUUGGCAGCUGCUCGGUGGUCUGGUGGUUUCUGUGGAGCGGCUCGGCCAGAUCCUGACGUGUUGUUAGGAAACAGCUCGAGACGUUUAAACACCCCGGUUGAAAAAAGGAAAAAGG